GUGACAUUUCCAUCGACAACGUCUGCAGAUGUCUGAAAGCUGGCCUCACUAUGGAUCCUGUAAUAGUGGAGGCGUUCUUAGCCAGCCUGUCAAACCGGCUCUACAUCUCCCAGGAAAAUGACAAAGAGGCUCAUCUCAUCCCGGAUCACACCAUCCGCACGCUCGGACACAUCGCUGUGGCCAUGAG